rnacentral:rRNA from 1 species
UACGAAGGGGGCUAGCGUUGUUCGGAAUUACUGGGCGUAAAGCGCGCGCAGGCGGUCUUCCAAGUCAGUGGUGAAAGCCCGGAGCUCAACUCCGGAACUGCCAUUGAAACUGUUAGACUUGAGGAUGAGAGAGGUGAGUGGAAUUCCCAGUGUAGAGGUGAAAUUCGUAGAUAUUGGGAAGAACACCGGUGGCGAAGGCGGCUCACUGGCUCAGUACUGACGCUCAGGCGCGAUAGCGUGGGGAGCAAACAGG